rnacentral:rRNA from 1 species
UACAGAGGGGGCGAGCGUUAUUCGGAAUUAUUGGGCGUAAAGGGCGCGUAGGCGGCCUUUCAAGUGACGGGUGAAAUCCCUCGGCUUAACCGAGGAACUGCCUGUCAGACUGGAAGGCUUGAGACCGGGAGAGGUGAGUGGAAUUCCCAGUGUAGCGGUGAAAUGCGUAGAUAUCAGGAGGAACACCAGUGGCGAAGGCGCCGCUCUGGGCCGUGACUGACGCUGAGGAGCGAAAGCGUGGGUAGCAAACAGG